AGAAUGAACGUUGGCGGCGUGGAUUAGGCAUGCAAGUCGUACGGGCCGCAAGGCCAGUGGCGCAAGGGUGAGUAAGGCGACGGUAACCAACCCCGUGAUUGGGUAUAGCCGCGGGAAACUGCGGGUAAUCCCCAGCGACGUCCGGGAGGGGCAUCCCCUCCGGACCAAAGCCCCGGCGUCGCGGGACGGGCCGUCGUGCUAUUAGCUCGUUGGCGGGGUAACGGCCCACCAAGGCGAUGAUGGCUACCGGGCGUGCGAGCGUGGCCCGGCACACUGGGACUGAGACACUGCCCAGACUCCUACGGGAGGCUGCAGUCGAGAAUCUUCGGCAAUGGGCGCAAGCCUGACCGAGCGACGCCGCGUGGAGGACGAAGGCCUUGGGUUGUAAACUCCUGUCGAGGGGGAAGAAGGUCCGCAAGGGCUUGACUGAUCCUGGAGGAAGCGACGGGCUAAGUUCGCGCCAGCAGCCGC
rnacentral:rRNA from 1 species